CAAUGUAACAUUGCUUUGAAAGCUGAAGUUGCUAUUCGUAAGGUACGAAUUAACAAUACCGUCCUUACAAGGCGAGCCAGGAUGUUAUUCUAUUGAUCUCGGAUCAUCGACCUCCGUGAGCGCCCUCGCUUUGACAGAUUGUCAUCCCAGCAAAAUAAAUCAUGUUUAAUAAAGAUCAAGGUUAAUAUUUUGUUAUAUAAGCUUAGGACAUCUGAAGCUCAGCACGAUUCAGUCAACUGUAUCAAACAAACAAGAUGUUCGCUAAAAUCUUUGCCCUCUUCGCUCUGCUGGCGGUGGCGUUCGCGGCGCCGAGCCCCAACCCGCAGGUCAUCACCUACUCCAAUGGAGUGGACUACGUGUACCCUGGAGCUGGUUUCGCCCCAACCGUCUACUCUGCAUACAACGCUCCGGUAGCCUACUCCGGAUACCCUGGUUACGCUGCCCCAGUCUUCGUGCGGUGAUAACAUCCUGACGCACACCAACCAUCUCUACAAAAUACCACAAAACGGACCUGCUUAUAAUUUCUAUGUUAAAUUGUAUGCAGAUGAAUCCCCUGUCAUCUUGAGCAAAUAAAUGUCAAUACAA